ensembl:misc_RNA
GGCGGGGCCGAGGGGCUGAGCCCGCGGGGGGAGGGAACAGCGUCGAUCACGUGACGCAGUUUCAGUGUUUACACGCUCAGAGGGCCGAGGGUUCGGCCUCAGUCAGGCGCUCGGCUCCGUUUCGGUU